rnacentral:rRNA from 1 species
UACGAAGGGGGCUAGCGUUGCUCGGAAUCACUGGGCGUAAAGCGCACGUAGGCGGCUUUCUAAGUCAGGGGUGAAAUCCUGGAGCUCAACUCCAGAACUGCCUUUGAUACUGGAGAGCUUGAGUCCGGAAGAGGUGAGUGGAACUCCGAGUGUAGAGGUGAAAUUCGUAGAUAUUCGGAAGAACACCAGUGGCGAAGGCGGCUCACUGGUUCGGUACUGACGCUGAGGUGCGAAAGCGUGGGGAGCAAACAGG